UACGGAGGGUGCAAGCGUUAUCCGGAUUUACUGGGUUUAAAGGGUGCGUAGGUGGACAGGAAAGUCAGUGGUGAAAUCUUCGAGCUUAACUCGGAAACUGCCAUUGAUACUAUUUGUCUUGAAUACUUUGGAGGUAAGCGGAAUAUGUCAUGUAUCGGUAAAAUGCUUAGAUAUGACAUAGAACACCAAUUGCGAAGGCAGCUUACUCCUCACUUAUUGACGCUGAGGCACGAAAGCGUGGGGAUCAAACAGG
rnacentral:rRNA from 1 species